GACGAACGCUGGCGGCGUACUUAACACAUGCAAGUCGAACGAUGAAGAAGAGCUUGCUCUUCGGAUUAGUGGCGAACGGGGGAGUAACACGUGACUAACCUGCCCCUUUCUCCGGGAUAACGCUCCGAAAGGAGUGCUAAUACCGGAUACUCACAUCGAGGCACAUGCCUUGAUGUGGAAAGUUUUACGGAAAGGGAUGGAGUCGCGGCCUAUCAGCUUGUUGGUGAGGUAACGGCUCACCAAGGCGACGACGGGUAGCCGGCCUGAGAGGGCGACCGGCCACGCUGGGACUGAGACACGGCCCAGACUCCUACGGGAGGCAGCAGUGGGGAAUAUUGCACAAUGGGCGAAAGCCUGAUGCAGCGACGCCGCGUGAGGGAUGAAGGUCUUCGGAUUGUAAACCUCUUUCAGUAGGGACGAAGCGAAAGUGACGGUACCUAAAGAAGAAGCACCGGCUAACUACGUGCCAGCAGCCGCCGUAA
rnacentral:rRNA from 1 species